rnacentral:lncRNA from 1 species
CAGCUUGUGCAAAAGGGCUCUUGCACAAGGCACUACCACUACGUCUGAGGUAAGGACUACCCCUUCCAAAAUAGAUGUUCCCUGACCCAAAUACUUCAAAGGGUCUAGAAACGUGAGGGAACUAGACAACUUUGUUUGGAGCAUGGAGCAAUACUUUAGGGCUCUCGACAUGCAAGACGAGGCUCUAAAGGUAAGCAUGGGUAGUCUUUUCCUCNNNN